CGCUUUUCUGGAUAGAGGCAAUCCCAGGCAGCCCAUCCACGCGCCCAGUUCCCAUCACUUCAUCACCCUUACAGCCUCACCCUCAUCGUUCCUCAGCAACUCCCCACAAGUUCUGAUCUAUGAUGGGAAAGGCAUGAGAUCUGAGUCAGUCUUUCAGAGCUAGGAAACAGAAGAGAGAAACUCAGUUGGAAUGUAAACCAUUGGCGCCCAAUCUUGUAUGCAACCACGGAGGAGCACGAAUGUAUUCGAUGCACAUUUAUAUAGCAACAAAUACCAAUAAAUUUCAUUUGAUGUUA